rnacentral:lncRNA from 1 species
GGGAUUUAGUAAGAUAACUAAGAUAUAGGCUUGAAGAGACUUUUAUUAGAUAGAACAAGCAAGAACAAGGGAGGUUACAAAGUAUUGAAGAUGAACCCUACUUCUAGCCGUCUAGUUCGAAUAUCUAAGCCUUCGAGGAGUCGAUCCCUUGCCUUAGGGAUUUAGGAGCCCUUAUGUUAGGGGAUUUUUGUGUAGGAUCUUUGUGAGUACCACAGAGUGAUGGAUAAGCUGGUAGUAUGUAUGUGUUUGUAAGUAUUUCGUGGGGAUUUGAGGUUAAUAAUAGAGAGAAAGACUUGAGAAGAUGUAUUAUUGAGUAAACAAGCUGGAACUACAAUGAUUGGUGUAUAAACCCCAGUUCUAGCCGCCUAGCUCUAAUCUCUAAGUAUUGAGCAGUCGAUUCCUUUCUUUUGGGACUUAGGAGCCCUUAUAUAGUCGCCUUGAAGUCGGUUUGAUUUAGGUUGAACUCUUCCAUAUUCCGAAAUAUGGAAGGUUCUCCUUAUCGGAAAUCUUCCAUUUCUUGGA